rnacentral:rRNA from 1 species
UACGUAGGGGGCAAGCGUGAUCCGGAUUUACUGGGUGUAAAGGGGGCGCAGACGGCGAUGCAAGCCAGGAGUGAAAGCCCGGGGCCCAACCCCGGGACUGCUCUUGGAACUGCGUGGCUGGAGUGCAGGAGGGGCAGGCGGAAUUCCUGGUGUAGCGGUGAAAUGCGUAGAUAUCAGGAGGAACACCGGUGGCGAAGGCGGCCUGCUGGACUGCAACUGACGUUGAGGCCCGAAAGCGUGGGGGGCAAACAGG